rnacentral:rRNA from 1 species
GAUGCAACGCGAAAAACCUUACCCACCUUUGACAUGGCAGGAAUCCUAAAGAGAUUUAGGAGUGCUCGAAAGAGAACCUGCACACAGGUGCUGCAUGGCUGUCGUCAGCUCGUGUCGUGAGAUGUUGGGUUAAGUCCCGCAACGAGCGCAACCCUUGCCAUUAGUUGCUACGAAAGGGCACUCUAAUGGGACUGCCGGUGACAAACCGGAGGAAGGUGGGGAUGACGUCAAGUCCUCAUGGCCCUUAUAGGUGGGGCUACACACGUCAUACAAUGGCCGGUACAGAGGGUAGCCAACCCGCGAGGGGGAGCCAAUCCCACAAAGCCGGUCGUAGUCCGGAUCGCAGUCUGCAACUCGACUGCGUGAAGUCGGAAUCGCUAGUAAUCGCGGAUCAGCAUGUCGCGGUGAAUACGUUCCCGGGUCUUGUACACACCGCCCGUCACACCAUGGGAGCGGGUUCUGCCAGAAGUAGUUAGCCUAACCGCAAGGAGGGCGAUUACCACGGCAGGGUUCGUGACUGGGGUGAAGUCGUAACAAGGUAGCCGUAUCGGAAGG